GUUGAAACCUCAGUGGUUUGUUAGUUGUAAGGAUAUGUCAAAACUUGCCCUUGAUGCUGUUAUAGACUCUGAAAACAAGAAGAUGGAGAUCAUUCCAGAGCAGUACGAACACGAGUGGAAAAGAUGGCUAGAAAAUAUUCAUGAUUGGUGUAUUUCUAGGCAACUGUGGUGGGGACACCGCAUUCCAGCAUGGUAUGUAAUCUUCGAUGAUGAUGAGGUAAAAGAUAUUGGUUUUUAUGAUGGCCGCUGGGUAGUUGGAAG
rnacentral:misc_RNA from 1 species